rnacentral:piRNA from 1 species
UGGGAUAACCUACUUAGUGUUUCCACCA